rnacentral:lncRNA from 1 species
UUUAAACACAAUAUUCACUCCAAUAUUCCAACAUCCGAUUAAACCACACAAUUACAUCGUCACAAUUAAUUAUCCAAAGUAAUAGCAAUGAAUCAAUGGUUUCCACUAGAAUUACUAUCACCGCAUAAUCUUCUUGCAUCCAUUGGUGAAAGGGGUCCACUGUCCGCAUCACUUGGCUGCAUAAAAAAACAAAUUUAUAAAAAUCAUGCUAGAAUCAGAAAAUAUGAAUUUGUGAAUCUAGCAAUGACAAAUUUAAGAACAAUGCUGUAGAGGAUGUUCCUAUUCAAAAACAGCUGUCUGGGCUGUGAGGAAGAUAUUGAGACCAGAACACUGAUAACAAAUACACAGGGUGUACAGGGGGACCUGAAAUGUCGAUUGAUCCAGCUACAGAAGGGUGAACUAUUCAACAUCAAUAAACUCUACAGACUCCAACUCCUUCAUACCCCCAAAGUACAAUGGAAAAGCAUAGUACUGCAG